rnacentral:rRNA from 1 species
GACUCCUACGGGAGGCAGCAGUGGGGGAAUAUUGCACAAUGGGCGCAAGCCUGAUGCAGCAACGCCGUGUGAGUGAAGAAGGUUUUCGGAUCGUAAAACUCUGUCCUAAGGGAAGAAACAAAUGACGGUACCUUAGGAGGAAGCCCCCGGCUAACUACGUGCCAGCAGCCGCGGUAAUACGUAGGGGGCAAGCGUUAUCCGGAAUCACUGGGCGUAAAGGGUGCGUAGGCGGCUUAGCAAGCCAGGGGUGAAAGGCAUUGGCUCAACCAAUGUAAGCCUUUGGAACUGUUAAGCUUGAGUGCAGGAGAGGUAAGUGGAAUUCCUAGUGUAGAGGUGAAAAUUCGUAGAUAUUAGGAGGAACACCAGUGGCGAAGGCGACUUACUGGACUGUAACUGACGCUGAUGCACGAAAGCGUGGGUAGCGAACAGGAUUAGAUACCCUGGUAG